rnacentral:piRNA from 1 species
UGUGAGUAGACAAGAACUCUGUGAGAGG